GACGAACGCUGGCGGCGUGCCUAACACAUGCAAGUCGAGCGGGGUUGAAGCGAGGGGUAACUCAAGCUUCUACCUAGCGGCGGACGGGUGAGUAACGCGUGGGCAACCUGCCUCAAGGUCUGGGAUAACAGCUCGAAAGGGCUGCUAAUACCGGAUAUGCCUAUGGCCUCGCAUGGGGCUAUGAGCAAAGGGGAAACCUGCCUUGAGAUGGGCCCGCGUCCCAUCAGCUAGUUGGUGAGGUAACAGCUCACCAAGGCGACGACGGGUAGCCGGCCUGAGAGGGUGACCGGCCACACUGGGACUGAGACACGGCCCAGACUCCUACGGGGGGCAGCAGUGGGGGAUCUUGCACAAUGGGCGAAAGCCUGAUGCAGCGACGCCGCGUGAGCGAAGAAGGCCUUCGGUUGUAAGACUCUGUCUGGAGGGACGGAAGGAAGUGACGGUACCGUCCGGAGGAGACCACGGCUAACUACGUGCCAGCAGCCGCGGUAAACGUC
rnacentral:rRNA from 1 species